rnacentral:sRNA from 1 species
AAACAUUCACAGGAUUCUUCUGCUGUAGC